UACGUAGGGUGCAAGCGUUGUCCGGAAUUAUUGGGCGUAAAGAGCUCGUAGGCGGCUUGUCACGUCGACUGUGAAAACCCGGGGCUCAACUCCGGGCCUGCAGUCGAUACGGGCUGGCUUGAGUGCGGUAGGGGAGACUGGAAUUCCUGGUGUAGCGGUGAAAUGCGCAGAUAUCAGGAAGAACACCAAUGGCGAAGGCAGCUCUCUGGGACGGUACUGACGCUGAGACGCGAAAGCGUGGGGAGCGAACAGG
rnacentral:rRNA from 1 species